GAUGAAUAACGUAGCGAAAUGCGAUAAGUAAUGUGAAUUGCAGAAUUCAGUGAAUCAUCGAAUCUUUGAACGCACAUUGCGCCCUUUGGUAUUCCAAAGGGCAUGCCUGUUCGAGCGUCAUUUGUACCCUCAAGCUUUGCUUGGUGUUGGGCGUCUUGUCUCUAGCUUUGCUGGAGACUCGCCUUAAAGUAAUUGGCAGCCGGCCUACUGGUUUCGGAGCGCAGCACAAGUCGCACUCUCUAUCAGCAAAGGUCUAGCAUCCAUUAAGCCUUUUUUUCAACUUUUGACCUCGGAUCAGGUAGGGAUACCCGCUGAACUUAAGCAUAUCAAUAAGCGGAGGA
rnacentral:misc_RNA from 1 species